UUCGGUGGUUAUGGCGAAGGGGAAACACCCGGUCCCAUCCCGAACCCGGAAGUUAAGCCCUUCAGCGCCGAUGGUACUGCAUGGGGGACCGUGUGGGAGAGUAGGACACCGCCGGAC
rnacentral:rRNA from 1 species